rnacentral:lncRNA from 1 species
UUUUUUUUUUUUCGGUUUUGAGUGCACAGUCAUUGAUGAGCAACCAGGGCUAUAUAUAAAAUUUUUAUUUUCUCUGAAAUUUAUCCCUCAAAUUUGUUGGCUACUCACAGGGAGUCUAUUUCGGAUAGCUAGUAUUUAUAGACAGCUCUCUGUGAGCUUUACAUAAUAUUAACUCGUAGUCCUAUGAGGUAGACACUAAUGUUAUCCCUCUUAAGACAAGGAUUUGGGGCACUGAAAUGUGAAGUAACUGGAAUAAGUUCCCUUGGAACUGGCCCCAGGCCACUGCUCCAUCACUUCAGUAAGAACGACUACAAAUUUACUCCAGAUUCAUAAACCGAUGAGCGGUCAAGUCUGGAAGAAGUCAUCUUUCUCCAGAACCUGCGAACCCAGAACCGUUUAUUUAAGUGAUUUUAAAUUUAACAUUGAGGAGAGACUUCUGUAGUAGUAACAGCAGCGGAUCUCUACACGGAUGCCCAAAGAACUCUUCAAGGCUGCAGUGUCUGCGCCAAAGAGGGCCCAUUUACCCAGAAGUCAGUGCGGCAGAACCCAAUUCAAAGUGCAGACCGCAUCUCGGAGGACCUGUAGACCUCUUGUCUCUGCCCCUGGAUGGUUCAUUUAAACUCUGAAAGUUGUGUUGCCAAACCUAUUUAAGAAGCACGAUGGUUAGACCCAAAGAUGAAUAAAACUUGUCCCUUGGAUCCCAAAAGCCUACUUGAGGGGCCGAAUAGAUAUACUGCAUCUUCAUCAGCAUGUGGCACAGAUUAUUAAAACCUCCUCCAGUUUGAGUUCACGGAAAACUGCUUCUCCUGGGUUCUUUUUAGUUAUUAAUUUCAUUUAUAUUUACUUAAAUAUCCUUCCAAAUAUAUUUACUCUCCUGGCUAAGCAGUUAGGUCUCAUUUUUUUUUUCUCCAAGCGUCGGUAUUUUUUUUUAAACAAGUUUCCACUCCCUGCCCAAUAAAUCUUCACACUUCCUGUCUGAUACUCUUACUGUUUCUUCACAGACCAUUAAGAAAAGCUGUUCAGUCCACCCCAAACGGGAGCCCCGUCACCUCUGUAGGACCUUCCCUCGAGGGAGGCUGGCGGUGCUCUUGUUUCCCAUCAUUUAUUAUGCCCUCGGUCUGUGUGCAAGCCAAAGUCACUGUGUUUUGUGAAGGAAAUUGUGCGAGACGUUCUUCCGAACGCUCUAAUAAAAUUCAAAUAUAUCACAUCUGCUCCUCUCUCUUAAAACAGCCAUCUUGUAAUUCUAUCUGAAAAGCAAUCAAAUUUGGUGUGCCUUUUUUUUUUCCCUUCAUAAAAGCUCAGCUUUUUAUUACUUUUGGGUUUAUUACCGCUAGAUGUUACACUUUUUUUUUGCUCUCAGUAUUGCAAACUUGCCGAAUUGUGAUUGCCAGGGUCUCUUUCAUUGUUUGAACAUGGGAGUUCUCUUCUUGCCGCUUGUUCUGCAGUGACUAAAUAUUUGGGUUCUUACUGACUAUGUUUCUUACAUGAGCUAGUUUCGUUUUUUGGGUUUUUUUUCCCCCUAGAGGAAAAGCGUGUAAGGCCAGGGUAGUACGGUAUGAGAAGCAGAAGCUGUCUCCCAUCGCCUGUCACCUGGCAUCUCAUAUUAAGCCACAGGGCUCUCCUGUGUCCCAGUGCCCUGUGACUGCUGGCCUUUUCCGGCCUUCCACAAACUGUAAAUCCCAAAGAUGGGAGGUGGAAGACCACUGACUCAAAUCAUCAUGGCCAAAUUAAAGCAAGCAAUUUUAUUCAGCGUCUGAGCUUUGGAUGUGAGGAAGGCAAGGCUUCUAUGGCUCAGGGGUAGCGGGGUUCCAAAUAGGGGGUGUACUGGCUGCUUUUGUGUGUCAACAUGACACAAGCUGAAGUUAUCACAGAGAUAGGAGCCUCCCUUGAGGAAAUGCCACCAUGAGAUUCAGCUGUAAGGCAUUUUCUCAGUUAGUGAUCAAAGGGGGCAACCUAGCCCAUUGUGGGUACCAUCCCUGGGCUGGUGGUCCUGAAUUCUAUAAGAGAGCAAGCUGAGCAAGCCACAGGAAGCAAGCCAGUAAGCAGCAUCCCUUCUAUGGCCUCUACAUCAGCUCCUGCCUCCAGGUUCCUGCCCUUUGUGAGUUUCAGUCCUGACUUCCUUUGGUGAUGAACAGCAAUGUGGAUGUGUAAGCUGAAUGAACCCUUUCCUCCAGCUUGCUUCUUGGUCCUGAUGUUUUGUGCAGGAACAGAAACACUGACUAAGACAGGGGGUCUGGGGUGAAAAUAAGUGAGAUCAUAACAAGUUAGUCCUUACAGCCUCUGAAAACAAAGAUAUGUUUGCAAAUCAGAUAUGACAAGUUAACCAUAACAACAGGCGAUCAUAACAAGGUAAUCCCAGGUAGUGACCUUUUGAAACAAAGGUAGGGUUGCAAGAUGGUUAUUAACAACUUUUUGAAACAAAGACGUGAUUGCCAUUCCUGGAACAGGCAGUACAGAACCAUUGGUAGUUAUGGUUACAGCUGGGGCAUAGCACAAUCCUUAAGAAACAGAGGUUUAGCCAUCAACAGGAAUGGACCUUAGUUUGUUUUUACUAUAAGAUGGCUUUUAAGCCGAAGAUAGAGGCAGGCUGGUUCUUCAAAACCACUAACAUUAGCUCCUGGGUUUUGCUGCCCUUGAGAAGCCAGGACACAUUAGGCCAUGUCUGGUUGCCUGUUCCCAUUUUCUCACGCUUCUGUUUAUUGAUGAGUAGUUACAUUUGUAUCUCUCGACAGUGCACUUUUCUCAGCAGCAUAUGAAGUAUUCUUUGAGUCUUUGAGUUCCUGAACUUCAUGAGGAGGGCAUUGUUUUUAAGCCGGGCACUAACAAUUGCCCCCUGAUGCCUUCCCCCAAGUGAGCAUUUGCCUAACCAAGUCUGUGUCAAGAUGUAGCCCUCUCCACUUGGAAAGGGCUCUGCUUCUACAUUUUCUACUUCUUCCCCGAUAAUAAACUCGGGAAUAAAUACCCAUUUCUUGCCAC